GAUGAACGCUGGCGGUCUGCUUAACACAUGCAAGUCGAACGGCAGUAGCAAUACUUUAGUGGCGGACGGGUGAGUAACACGUAAGAAUCUGCCUCCAGGACGGGAAAAACAGUUGGAAACGACUGCUAAUUCCGGAUGAGCCGAAAGGUAAAAAGAAAUUCGCCUGGAGAUGAGCUUGCGGCUGAUUAGCUAGUUGGUAGGGUAAGCGCCUACCAAGGCGACGAUCAGUAGCUGGUCUGAGAGGAUGAGCAGCCACACUGGGACUGAGACACGGACCAGCCGCCUACGGGAGGCAGCAGUGGGGAAUUUGCCGCAAUGGGCGAAAGCCUGACGGAGCAAGACCGCGUGGGGGAGGAAGGUUCUUGGAUUGUCAACCCCUUUUCUCGGGGAAGAAGAUCUGACGGUACCUGAGGAAUCAGCAUCGGCUAACUCCGUGCCAGCAGCCGCCGUAAUAC
rnacentral:rRNA from 1 species